UCUGGUUGAUCCUGCCAGUAGUCAUAUAUUUAUUUUUAAGAAUAAGCCAUGCAUGCCUCAGUUUUUUACUGUAAGUACAAUAGAUUGCGUAUAGCUCAUUAUAACAAUUAUCAUAAUUAUGACAUAUUUCUAUUUUGUGGAUAACUUUAGAAAUUCUUCAGAUAAUACAUGGUACAAUUGAUAUUUAUUAUAUAUUAUAAAUAUUUGCUUUUACUGUUAAUCAAACUUGAUUACCCUAUAUUGUGGAAGAAUCAUAUUACUAUUAAAGAUCGCUAAUAUAAUGUGGCAAAUCAUUUCAGUUUUUGACCUAUCAGUUGAUCCAUUGUAUAUUGCUUAAUUGAGGCAAUUACGGGUAACAGAGAAUUAAGGUUCUGUUCCGGAGAGGGAGUCUGAGAAAUAGCUACCACAUCUAAGGAAGGCAGCAGGCACGUAAAUUACCCAAUUUUGACUUGUAGAGGUAGUGACAAGAAAUCACAGUAUUGAGCCUUUUGGUUAAAUAAUUGCAUUAAGAAAAAUAUAAGUUUAUUGUCAAUAAAUUAUUGGAGGGCAAGUCUGGUGCCAGCAGCCGCGGUAACUCCAGCUCUAUUAGUAUAUACUAACAUUGAUGCAAUUAAAAAGCUCGUAGUCGAAUAAUAUAUUUAUUUAAUCUGUUAGUUUCUUUUGAACUAUAAAAUUAAUUAAUUACGUUAAUUCUACUAAUUUAUAUUUGUUGGUAUUAAUUUGUUGACAUUUAUUUAUAUUUACCUUUAUUUUAAAAAAACUAGAGUGUUCUAAACAAUCAUAUGAGAUCCUUCUAAAGUAUAGAAUGGUAAGUAAUGAUGUUGACCAGUAUUCAAAUAGUUUUAGAGAUUAAUAUAAUGAUUAAUAGAGAUAUUUGAAGGGGUUAGUAUUUUGCAGUUAGAAGUGAAAUUCCAAGAUCAGUAAAAGACUAAUUAUAGUAAAAGCAUUCAUCUAGAAUCUACUCUUUGGUCAAGAACGUAAGUUGAGGGAUCGAAGACGAUCAGAUACCGUCGUAGUCUCAACUAUAAACAAUAUCAACUAGAGUUUUGCGAAUGUUUCUAUGGCUUUGUUUGAACCUUAUGAGAAAUCAAAGAAUAUAGAUUCCGGGGGAAGUAUGGUUGCAAGGCUUAAACUUAAAGGAAUUGACGGAAGGGCACCACAAGAUGUGGAUUCUGUGGCUUAAUUUGAUUCAACACUGGAAAACUUAUCAGGUCCAGACAUAGAAAAUACAGACAGAUAAAUAUUUCUUUCUUGAUUCUAUGGGUGGUGGUGCAUGGCCGUUCUUAGUUGGUGAAUUGAUUUGUCUGGUUAAAUCCGUUAACGAACAAGAUUAUCUCCAGUUCAUUUGCAUAUUAUUAUAAGUAAUAAUUUUGCUCAUAUUAGGUACUAGAUUUGAAUAAAAAGCUGGAAGUUGGUAGCAAUAACAGGUCUGUAAUGCCCUUAGAUGAGGUGAGCUGCGCACGGAUUACAAUAACAAAACGAUUUUGCUUUAUAACAUUUCGUGAGAAAUUGAUAAAUCAUGAAAUUUACUUAUAAUUGGAAUCACUCAUUGAAAUUUUUAUGUGUUAACCAGGAAUAUCUAGUAACUACAUGUCAUUACCAUUCUGUGAAUAUGUCCCUGCCUUUUGUACACACCGCCCGUCGCUCCUACCGAUUGAAUACGUUGGUGAUUAAAUUUGACAAAUAGAUAUUAUUAGAAAGAUAAUAGUAAUUCUAACAAUUUGCAAACUCGAUUAUUUAGAGGAAGGAGAAGUCGUAACAAGGUUUCCGUAGGUGAACCUGCAGAAG
rnacentral:rRNA from 1 species